AGUCCCAAGUUCAUUGCCAGGGAACCGAUCUUUACUUAUUUUAUUAUUUGUCUUCCCAUGAAAACAUCCCACAGAGAGAGAGAGAGAGAGAGAGAGGCGCAGCAUCCUCUUGGCCUUGGCCAAAGCGAGGCUCUCUGCGUUUGAUUAGGCAAUCCUGGCUGGCAGAAAGCAAACCAGCCUGAGACGUUAGGGAAAGAAAGAAGAGCCUCUUCUAAGGAGCUUGGAGUUCAAGCAGGCUCACAUACGGAGACCAAACUACCAUGCCUUUGAUGUGGAAGAUGAAGAAAUAAAAUUAUAAAGGAGGAGAAGAAGAAACAAUGAGGUGGGGAGGAAAAGAGCAUGUAGUUGGGCUUUUUAAAAAACUGUUAAAAGAUAACAGUUAUGCUUUAAACAUAGUUGAAAUGCUAUUUUUAUUGCCCAUAAACGUUUAUGUGCAGAUAUUUGUCUGAAAUCUUGGAUGUAAGUUUUUGAAUAUUAGCACACAUAUGUGAACAAUAGAGAACCAUUAUUUGGUCAUGUUUUCCAUCUGCAUCAAUAUUGCACAAUGCCAAUAACCACCCUCUUUCUCUGGACUUCUGAUUACCAAAUGUUUCCAGUACCUCCUAUGGGUAUUUCUACAAUGUGAUUGCUGAAUAAUUGGCAUUGCCCAUGUACCCUGAAGCAAUGCUGGCUCCUUGUAAAGUGGUCCCAUAGGAUUACUUUAUAUGCGACAGGAGAUACCUGCUUGCCACAAAAUCACAUAGGUAAUGAACAGCAAGACUGGUCCUUUGAUACAAUACAGUUAUAGCUUUAUGAUUCCACUAUCCUUAUCCUUAGCUUAUAUCUGCAAGUUGGCGAGGGGUGACAGACAGUGUGGUGUAGUGGGCUCAGCACUGGCCUACAACUCAGGGCUUGAUUUGCUCCUUGAGCAUAAAAAACCCAUUGGGUGACC